rnacentral:lncRNA from 1 species
AUUAGGAUCACACAAUUAACUAUAUUCCGAACCACUAAAAUACUAACAAAUACUACGAUGUUUUCUCCCAGUAACAAUACUCCUUCAUCAGCUAAUAACAACAGUGUGCAACCCUACAGUCUCAAAUGACCGCUUAAAACAUAAUAAUUUCUAUCCAACAUCAAGAAUAACAUACUUUACUCCAACCAAUCUGAAUUCACAAAAUUUCUAUAAGCACAGACUUCCUCUGUUCAAAAACACACAACUCUCAAUAAACAACAAUCAUAAUCUUCCAAUAAUUCCUCAUAUAAUUCAAUCACUCAAUACUCUAAUUAUAUAAUCAAUAAUUCAUAAAUCAAUCUCUGAUUUAUUCCACAAACUCACUUGUCAAUAUUCAGAAACUAUCUAUUACUCUUCAAUAACAAAGAAAAUAAAGAAACAAAAAGGUAGCACUAAGCUUACUCCGGCUCAUGACUAUCAUAAUCUGGCCCUCCAACAAACUUCUACAACUCCUAUAUAAUUCCUCUUUAUUUCCAGAUUCUAAUCGUAAUCCUGUAAUUAAUUGCUUUUAAUAAUUAAAUCAAUCAUCCGUCCUCCUGAAUUGACUAUUCUAUGAACUAUUAGUCUAUUUUACCAGAAUCUUACAGAAACAAACUAAUAUCUAUUCUACAUAGCCCCACUC